rnacentral:rRNA from 1 species
UACGUAGGCAGCGAGCGUUGUUCGGAAUUACUGGGCGUAAAGAGUGUGUAGGCGGUGCUCUAAGUUCGGUGUGAAAUCUCCCGGCUUAACUGGGAGGGUGCGCCGGAAACUGGAGUGCUCGAGCGUGGGAGAGGAAAGGCGGAAUUCCUGGUGUAGCGGUGAAAUGCGUAGAUAUCAGGAGGAACACCUGCGGUGUAGACGGCUUUCUGGACCAUUGCUGACGCUGAGACACGAAAGCGUGGGGUAGCAAACAGAU